rnacentral:lncRNA from 1 species
CGAAGGGAAGCGGAGCGGAGCGGAGCGGGCGAAGUCUCGCGAGACCUGCCGGCGUUCCCGCGCGGCCGUUGGGCCCUUAGGGCGGCAACGAAGCCUCCAGGCUUUGGGAUGCCGUGGGCGGGCGCCUCUCGGCCCGGUGCUCUCGUGGUUACUAGCGUUUCACGGACAACAGAUGGAAGUGCUGCUGUGCAGGAAAAGCUACAUUUUCUUGCUGAAGCUGAUGACAGCGCUUCUUUUAUUAUCAAGGGAACUGUCUGGGUUGGACUGCUUUUUAACAAACUGAUCACAACCUUUCAAAUCAGCAAAAAGUCAAGCAGGCAGGCCCCCCCUUUCAACAGAGAUUUAGAUUCAGAACUUAUUGUCAGCAUCCCAGCCAGAAAUACAAGACAGCAACUAGCUUUUGGCAGGUGCCAUAAAAGCAGCCCUUGAGACCAAGCGAAAGAUUCCUCAGAUACUGCACUGCUAAGGAUUCAUCCUUUCUGAUCUUCUACUGUGCCACUCACCUGACAGCGAACAAGGAACUGCCUCAGUUGGCACCAUGGACAGAGGCCCCCUCUAUGUGUGGCUAUAGUUGUAGACUGUCCCUUCCUGACAAGUCUUACCUGUGUGUAUAACUGAGAGAUUUAGGUAAUUUAAUUAGAUUAACUGAAUUAGUUGCAUUGGUAGAUUUUGAGGGUGGAUAAUUCUUCCCCCAAAACUGGGCAAAAUCAAUGUUUCAUCUCCUGUGAAGUAUUUUUAGUUCGAGGAUAUUUCAAAUUGACAACUGGUAGCUUAAAUAGUCUGAAGUAUUAUUCCCUAACACAUAAUGUGAGAAUAACAGUAAAUACUAUUGUGAACCAGUAGUGCAGCUGUAAGAUGACAUUGGCAAACUUUGCUUUUUGUUAUUAGUCCUCUGCCCUCUAAAAUAUACUUACAGCCCCCUGCUAUGUAUCACCAUUGCUACACCGAAUAAACAUAUACAAUUCUAACCCUAGAUGAAAAGA